UACGGAGGGUGCAAGCGUUAAUCGGAAUUACUGGGCGUAAAGCGUGCGUAGGCGGUUCGUUAAGUCUGCUGUGAAAGCCCCGGGCCCAACCCGGAAAUGGCAUUAGAAACUGUGAGGCUGGAGGCUUGGAGGGGGAACUGGAAUACUUGGUGUAGCAGUGAAAUGCGUAGAUAUCAAGUGGAACACCGGUGGCGAAGGCGAGUUCCUGGACAAGACCUGACGCUGAGGCACGAAAGCCGGGGGAGCAAACAGG
rnacentral:rRNA from 1 species